ACGGGACCCGCACAAGCGGUGAUGAUGUGGAUUAAUUCGAUGCAACGCGAAAAACCUUUACCUACCCUUGACAUGUCUGGAACCUUGGUGAGAGCCGAGGGUGCCUUCGGGAGCCAGAACACAGGUGCUGCAUGGCUGUCGUCAGCUCGUGUCGUGAGAUGUUGGGUUAAGUCCCGCAACGAGCGCAACCCUUGUCACUAGUUGCCAUCAUUUAGUUGGGCACUCUAGUGAGACUGCCGGUGACAAACCGGAGAAGUGGGGAUGACGUCAAGUCCUCAUGGCCCUUAUGGGUAGGGCUUCACACGUCAUACAAUGGCCGGUACAGACGGACGCAAAGCCGCGAGGUGGAGCAAAUCCUAAAAAGCCGGUCUCAGUUCGGAUUGCAGGCUGCAAUUCGCCUGCAUGAAGUCGGAAUCGCUAGUAAUCGCAGGUCAGCAUACUGCGGUGAAUACGUUCCCGGGCCUU
rnacentral:rRNA from 1 species